AUUGAACGCUGGCGGCAGGCUUAACACAUGCAAGUCGAGCGGGGUGAUGGUGCUUGCACUAUCACUUAGCGGCGGACGGGUGAGUAAUGCUUAGGAAUCUGCCUAUUAGUGGGGGACAACAUCUCGAAAGGGAUGCUAAUACCGCAUACGUCCUACGGGAGAAAGCAGGGGAUCACUUGUGACCUUGCGCUAAUAGAUGAGCCUAAGUCGGAUUAGCUAGUUGGUGGGGUAAAGGCCUACCAAGGCGACGAUCUGUAGCGGGUCUGAGAGGUGGAUCCGCCAAACUGGGACUGAGACACGGCCCAGACUCCUACGGGAGGCAGCAGUGGGGAAUAUUGGACAAUGGGGGGAACCCUGAUCCAGCCAUGCCGCGUGUGUGAAGAAGGCCUUAUGGUUGUAAAGCACUUUAAGCGAGGAGGAGGCUCUUUUGGUUAAUACCCAAGAUGAGUGGACGUUACUCGCAGAAUAAGCACCGGCUAACUCUGUGCCAGCCGCCGCGGUAA
rnacentral:rRNA from 1 species